rnacentral:rRNA from 1 species
GACGAACGCUGGCGGCGUGCUUAACACAUGCAAGUCGAACGGAAAGGCCCGCUUGCGGGUACUCGAGUGGCGAACGGGUGAGUAACACGUGGGUAACCUGCCCUUGACUUCGGGAUAACAGUUGGAAACAGCUGCUAAUACCGGAUAUCACUGCUGCACGCAUGUGUGGUGGUUGAAAGUUUUUUCGGUCAAGGAUGGGCCCGCGGCCUAUCAGCUUGUUGGUGGGGUAAUGGCCUACCAAGGCGACGACGGGUAGCCGGCCUGAGAGGGCGACCGGCCACACUGGGACUGAGACACGGCCCAGACUCCUACGGGAGGCAGCAGUGGGGAAUAUUGCGCAAUGGGCGGAAGCCUGACGCAGCGACGCCGCGUGAGGGAUGAAGGCCUUCGGGUUGUAAACCUCUUUCAGCAGGAACGAAUCAAGACGGUACCUGCAGAAGAAGCACCGGCUAACUACGUGCCAGCCGCCGCCGUAACAC